ACAAAUAAGAACCCCAAUAAUAAGAAAAAUGAUAUUUGUUAUCCUUUCUGCAGUAAUUGGAAGAAGCAUUAAGGGGACAGUCCUGGUUGUAGCUGGUAAAGACACAAGGAAGUUCCAAAGGCGUCAUUAUGGAUGUGGAACCCAGCGUGCUCCGUCCUGCAAGAUCUCAGCAUCAUUUUCGUUUCACCUCCUGCCUGAGUGGCACAGAUUUUACAGAAAGGCAAAAUGUGGUCCCAGUCCUGCAUGUGGAAAUAUCUGGCAUGACUUCCUUCACUGUUGUAAUCUGAGGAGUUGCUUCUGGAUCUCUAUUAUAAAUUAAGGUAC
rnacentral:lncRNA from 1 species